rnacentral:rRNA from 1 species
AAUGAACGUUGGCGGCGUGGAUUAGGCACGCAAGUCGAGCGAGAAAGCCCGCAAGGGUGAGUAAAGCGGCGCACGGGUGCGUAACACGUGGGUAAUCUGCCCUGGAGUCCGGAAUAACUCGCCGAAAGGCGUGCUAAUGCCGGAUAAGACCACGGGAGCCUCGGCUCCUGCGGGAAACGGUGGCCUCUGUACACAAGCUACUUCUCCAGGAUGAGCCCGCGGCCCAUCAGCUAGUUGGCGGGGUAAUGGCCCACCAAGGCUACGACGGGUAGCUGGUCUGAGAGGACGAUCAGCCACACUGGAACUGAGACACGGUCCAGACUCCUACGGGAGGCAGCAGUGGGGAAUCUUGCGCAAUGGGCGAAAGCCUGACGCAGCAACGCCGCGUGUGUGAUGAAGGUCUUCGGAUCGUAAAGCACUGUCGCGAGGGACGAAUAAGGGUCGGGAUAAUACCCCGGUCCGAUGACGGUACCUCGAGAGGAAGCACCGGCUAACUCUGUGCCAGCAGCCGCCGUAACAC